AUUGAAUGCUGGCGGCAGGCCUAACACAUGCAAGUCGAGCGGAUGAAGGGAGCUUGCUCCUGGAUUCAGCGGCGGACGGGUGAGUAAUGCCUAGGAAUCUGCCUGGUAGUGGGGGAUAACGUCCGGAAACGGGCGCUAAUACCGCAUACGUCCUGAGGGAGAAAGUGGGGGAUCUUCGGACCUCACGCUAUCAGAUGAGCCUAGGUCGGAUUAGCUAGUUGGUGGGGUAAAGGCCUACCAAGGCGACGAUCCGUAACUGGUCUGAGAGGAUGAUCAGUCACACUGGAACUGAGACACGGUCCAGACUCCUACGGGAGGCAGCAGUGGGGAAUAUUGGACAAUGGGCGAAAGCCUGAUCCAGCCAUGCCGCGUAUGUGAAGAAGGUCUUCGGAUUGUAAAGCACUUUAAGUUGGGAGGAAGGGAAGUAAGUUAAUACCUUGCUGUUUUGACGUUACCAACAGAAUAAGCACCGGCUAACUUCGUG
rnacentral:rRNA from 1 species